GCCUCUAUAGUGUAGUCGUUGCAUGUCAGAAUUUUGCAGCUUCACGUUCAUCAUUUCUGAAGGACCUGGUUCAAUUCCAGGCGGGGGCU